GGGAAAGUGGCUCAGUGGUAGAGUGCUUGCCUUGUAUGCAUGAGGACUUGUGUUCUAUUCCU
rnacentral:tRNA from 1 species